rnacentral:rRNA from 2 species
CAGCUAAGGUCCCAAAGUCAUGGUUAAGUGGGAAACGAUGUGGGAAGGCCCAGACAGCCAGGAUGUUGGCUUAGAAGCAGCCAUCAUUUAAAGAAAGCGUAAUAGCUCACUGGUCGAGUCGGCCUGCGCGGAAGAUGUAACGGGGCUAAACCAUGCACCGAAGCUGCGGCAGCGACGCUGAUGCGUUGUUGGGUAGGGGAGCGUUCUGUAAGCCUGCGAAGGUGGCCUGUGAGGGUUGCUGGAGGUAUCAGAAGUGCGAAUGCUGACAUAAGUAACGAUAAAGCGGGUGAAAAGCCCGCUCGCCGGAAGACCAAGGGUUCCUGUCCAACGUUAAUCGGGGCAGGGUGAGUCGACCCCUAAGGCGAGGCCGAAAGGCGUAGUCGAUGGGAAACGGGUUAAUAUUCCCGUACUU